AUCGAACGCUGGCGGCAGGCCUAACACAUGCAAGUCGAGCGGAUGAAGGGAGCUUGCUCCUGGAUUCAGCGGCGGACGGGUGAGUAAUGCCUAGGAAUCUGCCUGGUAUCGGGGGAUAACGUCCGGAAACGGGCGCUAAUACCGCAUACGUCCUGAGGGAGAAAGUGGGGGAUCUUCGGACCUCACGCUAUCAGAUGAGCCUAGGUCGGAUUAGCUAGUUGGUGGGGUAAAGGCCUACCAAGGCGACGAUCCGUAACUGGUCUGAGAGGAUGAUCAGUCACACUGGAACUGGGACACGGUCCAGACUCCUACGGGAGGCAGCAGUGGGGAAUAUUGGACAAUGGGCGAAAGCCUGAUCCAGCCAUGCCGCGUGUGUGAAGAAGGUCUUCGGAUUGUAAAGCACUUUAAGUUGGGAGGAAGGGCAGUAAGUUAAUACCUUGCUGUUUUGACGUUACCAACAGAAUAAGCACCGGCUAACUUCGUG
rnacentral:rRNA from 1 species